CCCCUUUUAACUUCUUCUAGUUAAACUCUCUAUUUAUAUAAAUGCCAAAGAAAGGUACAACGUUUCAAAUCAAUCGGAAAAUCAGAAGGAAAGGAAAUGAAUCAGAGAAGGUAAAAAAAUGUGACACUGAAACUGUUAUUCCGAAAUGUGAUGUUAUAAUUUUUCUAGGUGUUAACUUGCAUUUCAUUAGACGAAGACUCGGCCAUUUUGAUAUUGAAAUAAGCCCAACAAACUUAACACCAUGAAAAUGACUAAAGAUUUAAAAUUUUGGAUUAUUUUAACUUUUUAAUGAAAUUCCAGCUACUUGUUUUAACCAAUAACUCAUAUAUUGUUAGAUGUUGAUGCCAUGUUUGGAGUCGUUGUAUGGUCUCUGAGUCUUUAAUGUAAAUGGUGUUAUGCUAGAUGAUAGUUGAUGAUUUUAGUCCUUGUAUCAUGUUUUGUCAUUGAUAUUUUUAUUUGUUGCUUUUGUGCUUUAUUAAGUAACUAGUUGUGUACUUGAUUGUGGUAAUUAGCAUAUGCUUGCAAGUAAAGCUAGAAACAUGUAUAACAAAAAUAAGAGUAGAGGGUGACAUUAUAAAUGUUGCGUUAUGAAGAAUAAAAAGUUUAGGUGUGGGUUUUGGAAUGUCUUACCUCCUAACAUAAACUCUUUCUUAUUGGCAUAUGGUUUCGAUUUCUCUUUGGCUCCUAGCGUCUAGGAUAUUUGGGCUGCUUUCUUUGGCGGCCUCUAUGCGGGCGAUAACUGGACAAGAGACCUCGCUUUCGACUUAUAUAUAUUUAUUUCGAGUUUUACUGUGAUUGCGGGUGAUGAUGAAAUGGAAGAAGGCUUAUGGAGAUGGGGAUGAUUAGUUGGUGAAAAUGAAGGCGAGGCUAGUUGAACUCGGCAAGGGUCUCCAACCACCCCAUGAGAGUUGGGGGUUAUGGGAGUUUAUAGUUAGAAACAGCCGCCUCCGCCGCCCAUCUCUUUCAACUGAUUAAUGAGCAACGGCAAAAUACCCCCUAAAAAUGGCUGCCAAUUAAUUGGCCUGAAAUUGAGGGCCCCCAAUAAUUUUCUACAUUUUAAUUGACCCGACGACCUAUUAUUAACCCA
rnacentral:lncRNA from 1 species